rnacentral:lncRNA from 1 species
UCUCAGAGUCUGGCGUUUCAAGUUUUUAAUUUUCUCUAAUCGGUCCGCGUAUAGAGUUAUUGGAAUUCUUCAAACGUUAUUGAAACGCUGUCGUCAUUCGUAAUAAGUGAGGUCACAAAUCUACGAAUCAGCAUCAACAUUAUCAUCGUCUUCCUGAAAGCUUUGUUCAUCAUCAUCAUCAUCAUCAACAUCGAGUAGAUUUUCUACUGCAAUCUAUCAUCGAAAAACAAUUCCUCAAAAAUAUAAUUACUUGUUCCUUUUCCCAGAACUUUGAACAUCAGCAGCGCCCACCGGCUCAUGAUGUUGCUUUUCCUCCGAUGCAGGCAAAAGAAAGCUGAGCCCCUAUAGAUACCCGGAAGUGCGCAGUCCUGCUCCUGGUGCACCAGGGACAUCGGGGGAAAAAGAGAAGGAUCGAUGGGGCGAGACAUAGAAGAGCUUCUGCACCACGCCCAACCAUGGGGGUGGCUCACCAUGACUCACUCCAUAUACUACAGAGUCCACCAACCCUUCGAAUUCGGUGAAACUACGUACGGGGUGCAGAUUUGGCGUGGAAUGUGAAUACACAGAGAGACAUCGGAGACACAAGGUAAACCCAUACGGGAAACGAGGAAAACCCCCUUCUGGAUUUCAACGAUCGCGUCGACACUUCCGAAUACUAUUUUUUUUUUUUUUUUCUCUCGAUCGAUUUUAUUCGCUUCAGCUAUGAAACGGGGUUUGGUUGGAUUAGAUUGGGUCAGGUUAGGAACGUAUAGCUUCGUAGACUCAUGUGCCGACUGCGGACACAAUUAUACCAAUCGUAUGUGAUUCACCCCAACGGUGUGGUAUCCGAUAAUGAAAUUCUGUGCUUUGGUAUAAAGCAAUUUUUUGUAGGGAAAAAAAUCAUGCAACGCGUCAAAAAUGAUAUUCUUUGGAAUCUGUAAAAGUUGAACGAAAAAGAAAAAGAAAAAACGACAUUCCGGCCCUGUACCUUUGAAUACAUACGCUCCUGAUGGUCCGGAAAUAUAAUUCAGCUUUCUUCGUUCUAUCGGCGCACGGUGAAGAACAUUCCAGACUCGUUACAUGUUCUAGACGUAGACCGAAUCGCUGGUCACGUACGUAAUGCACGGUAUAUUACAUGUGUAUACCCGUACGUACAUGCGUGUAUUUUAUAAAUAUUUCAGAAAAAUUACAGUUACCAUCGAGUAUCUACAGUAAAAAGAAUGCGUCAACGAUUUAUUAUCAUGAGACUCGCGUCGAUAAGCUCAAAUUGCUCCGACUUUGUA